rnacentral:lncRNA from 1 species
UUUUGGGUUACCUUUGUAUGAUUUUUAAUUUCUUAUACACCUUGUAAAGGGAUUGUAACUGAUUAUUUUAUUUCAUUUUAACUUUUUUUAAAAAUAAAAUAAAAAAUGAAGUAGUGUGAGUCACAUUAUUUAAAUUAAGAUAGCUCAACACCUGCAUUUUAAGGAAUAAAAAAUAUUUUAUAAAUGAGUAACAUCUAACAUGACAAUUUUGUAGAUUUAAGCUAUUAAAUAAUUUAAAUAAAGUCAUAAUUUAUCAAAAAUCUAUUGAGUUAUAAGCUAUCACAAAACUCUAGUUAUUUAGAUAUUCAAUCAUAGAAACGGGAAAUGUGUUGAGAGUUCAAUUUUUUUUUGAACAAGCAAAAAUUGAUAUAUUAACACUGUUAUACCAGUCUCCUCAGCACAAGAUGUGCCAAAAAUACUACUAAAAAAACAAGCAGUUCACACAAGAUAUAAAAAGUGUCUAUUCAAUGUCUAAACACGACAAAAGACUCGACCACCACAAAUGUUCACCAAAUACAAAGCUAGCCUUUUUGGCUUUCAACCACCACAAAGAAUAAUAUUUUACUUUGUCUAGUAGUUGAUCUAUAGAGUAUUCUUUCUGUUUAAAUAAUCUAUUGUUUUGUUCAUUCCAUAAAAUCCAAGCGGUAAGAAGCCAAAUCAGCUGAAGAAAAGACCUCUGCGAUUUCAAACCACCUGUAUAAUUAGUAAAAUGAAUAAAGUGAUCUGAAAUAUCUUGAUGGUCGACACCAUCAAAACCAAUCCAAGACCUCAAUAAAGGCCACAAUGACCCAAAUCAAGUACACAACAAAAACAAGUGACGACCAUCCUCCACCUGACCGCAUCCAGAAACACACAAACACGCAUUUGCAUCAAUUACACCACACGCCACCAAAUUAAAUUUAGUAGGAAGGCGAUCAUGGAGCAACCGCCAAGCAAAAAUAAACACUUUUAGGGGAACCUGCUUGUGCCAAAUUAAAUCGACAUCAUGCAAAACCUGUGGAUGAUAUAUAGAUAAUAGAUAGUAGAUACAUAUGUCUUGAAAAGGUGAUUAUAAGAGAAAUUUAUCCCUCAUCUUAUAAACCAAUUCUGUAGGGUUGUGUUACAUCAAACUAAAAUUGUAAAACAUGUAAAUUAUAGAAAUCAAUUGAGAUCUAUAAUCUAUGAACCAAUUAAAAUGUGUCAAGAAAACGUGUAUUUAAAAAAAGGAGAUAAAAUGACAACUUUGAAAUCUAUAAUCUAUGAACCAAUUGAAAUAAAAAAAACAGGAUUAAUAGAAAAGAACAUCGCAUUACACAAAUACUUGGAGCUACUAUUAAUUCCGUGUGAAAGAUAACGAGAGUUAUUUUAUUUAUUUAUUACUAGAUAAAGUGUUUUAAACCAAGAAGAUAGUGUUUUAAACCAAGAAUAUUCCUUUUAAAAAAAAUAACCCAAGAAUAUUCCAAUAUAUAUCAAAUAUACUACUAAUAACUACGGUUCAAUGAAUUUUAUCACGAAUUAUUAUAUUUUAAAGUUCAAUGAAUUUUUAUGGUGAAAUAUGAACACAUGACCUUUUUAAAUAUUUUAUCAUAUUGUAAGAAUUAAAUUCAGAUUAGAUUUGCUUCAAAAAUAUUAGAUUGUUUGAGCGAUUGAUUAACCCAUCAAGUUUAUUUAUGUGACUUAAUUCGACUAGAUUCAUUUUUAAGAAAAUAAAUCAACUAAGUCACGCUAACUUCAUCCAAAAAAAAGAGCAUUUGUACUAAAGGAAAUAAUAUCGAUAUUUUCACGUUGAAUAUAUUUUCAAAGGUGACUAGUUCGAAUCGGAAAUAGAGUUGUGUUAUCUAGUUCGAAUCUAAAAUAGAAUUGUGUUAUUUGAACAACCAUUUGGAUGAUAACUUUUGUGAUAAUCAUAAAUUUACAAAGAAAAUAAGGUAUUGACACAAUAAGCAAAGUAACAGAGAGAAAGUAAAAAUAUAAUGUGAGUAUAAAAAAGAAAAUAGUCACAAAAGUUGUUAAAAAAUGGUUGUACAAAUAUCAUUUUCAUCCAAAUAUAGCUAGUAAGGGACUUUGACCCUUUAAGCAAGUGAUUCACUUUUGGAUCAUUGACUCUUGCCUAUAGAGAAAAUUUGGUUGAAAGAGAAAAAUCCACCUUAUUACCCCAAAGGUUCCCCACCCAGACCCUGAAUAAUGUAUAUGGGAAAACAUUUGUUGAAAGAUGUCAAACUUUUAAAUGAAUUCAAAUUACCUUAAGGAGAUUAUAAUUCAUACAAUUGCACGUGAAGAAUACAAUUUUAUUUAAAAAAGAAAAUAUAUUAAAAUAAUGUAAAAAAAAAUACUCAAACCCAUUACAAAGAGAUAACAUGACAUGAUAGGGUCAAACUCCACCCAAGAGUCCAAAAUCCAAACCAAGAAUAACACAACAAAACAAAGCCCUAAACCAUAAAAAAAAAUAUAUAAAAAGUUAAGAUAUUCCUAAUUGCAUGACAGGUUAAAGUAUAACCCCGCCAAUUAGCGAACAAGAUAAAUGAUAACCCCUACAAAUAGCCAUUUGACCAACCAAGGACUAUCUCAACAAACAAUGUAGGGUUGCAUUGCCCACUUUUAGAAAGUGCAAGUGGACCCCAGUGUUUUUUACCCAAAAACUCAUUUGAAGAAGAUAAUUUAAUUCAAUUCACCAAUUGCUUAAAUGGGAUAAACUUAUUAGAGAAAAUAAUGUUACUUCGUGACUUCCAAUGUGAAACUAACUCCAAACAAAGUUUUUAGUUGAGAACCAAUUAACUCCAAAGAAAAAAAAAGGAGAAUAAUCGAAAUAAGGUAGGAGAUAUGACUCGCUCCGACCUAAACCAUCACAUAAUUUUAUACCAUACUUUGUGGUGAUAAGUCAUAGGUAACAAAAAGACAUCGAUCUGAAUCUUGAGUCUUGAUUGAUGCUACAAAAAACACACACCAAACUUUCAACAUCUCUAUAUGAUUGGACAUAGAAGAGUUUGGUGAGUACGUUGGAGCCAUAUCGAACACUUAUGGUUGGAAGAUCAAUGACCUUAUUUCAGGGCCAACUCUUCCAAACACAAAAAUAAAAUAUGAAGCUCAUCAUCUGAAAAGAGCUCAAUCUGAGGCCGAGUAGCUCAUAGGGACAUGUAGACAGAAAUCACCGAAUAUAUUGACUCAAGGGAUAAUUCACUUGAGCCCUAAUUUACUCGGAUAGGAUCACAAGUUUUAAAUUUAUAGUCAAGACCUAUAAAGAUAGUCAAGUCUAAGUAUGGUGUUUCAAAAAAAAAACUUUUGCUUCUAAAAAAUAAAUAAAUUAGGGCAUUGUCCUAGGUCAACCUCCAUCCUAAAAUACAUUUUAUUCGGAUAUAAUUUUGAAAAGUUAAAUGUCAAUUAUAUAAGAUUUCAAUGCAUAUUUUAACUUUUUUAGCAAUGAAAUAUUGAACCUGUAAUAUGAAACGUUUGAUCUUGAUUCAAUGAUCACUUUCAUACUAACCUGCAUGAAUGUGGAUAGAAUUUCACUCCUUAUGGUGAACAUGUGAAAAAUAUGAGGUUUAAACUCUAGCCCCUGUAUAUUGCACUGUAUCUACAAACUGAACUAUGAUUACAAAGACAAUUAAAAUGAAAUUUAAAGAACAAAUAUAAAUAUAUAAUUUGACUGAAUGAUUCUGAAGAGAUAAAAGUAAAAUAAGAAAUAAAGGUAGAAAUGUGUAAAUACAAAAGUUGAAUGAUAUCUAGCUUACAUCAAUUAAUUUAAGAUUUAUUUUGAAUUAACUUUUUUGGUUAAACUUUUGAGUCACUAUUUAAUUUAUAUUUGUGUUUUGUACAACAUUAUUUAUUUUAUAUUACUAUAUCGGUUUUGAUAUAAAUGCAUGAUAGAAAUUUCUUUCUGUUGAGAGGAGCAAUUUCUUGAUUAGUCAAACCAUAUAUAAUCAUGAUAAUUAUAUUUUUCUCAUGUUCCUAUUUUUAGGAUUAUGAUGACAUGAAGUGAUGAAAUAUAUCAAUUUUAAAAUUUAUCCUUACUAAUUUAUUACACAAUAUUAAUUUUUGUUGAAGGAAUAUUAAAUAUUAAAUAUUAACUAUAUUUCCCCAUAAUCACGAAGUUGAUUGGAAAUUUGCCACAUGUUUGCAUGUUUUUGAUUCCUCAAUCCAUUCACGUAAUAUUGAUUACCAAUGUAAAAGAUUUGGUUAAUAUGAAUGCAUGCAAGAGAUUUUAUGGCAAAUAUGAUAGAAACUUAAUUUAACUUUUCACCUAUCAUAUUUACGAAUCUGUCAAAUUUGUUUUACAGCGAUUCUUCUUUAACAGAUAAGGGUUGAAUUUGUGGUGACAUCAACUUAUCAGAAUCAGGAUCAGAAAUGGAAUAAAAUUUUGAAACUUAUGUUUUUUUCUUUUUUGAAGAAUUUUGAAACUUAGUUAUGCUGCUCAAAUGUCACUUUUUCUUUAACAAAAGUUUAGAUGAGUUGGUCUCGAAAAAAAUUAAGAUAAAAUUCAAAGCUCAAAGAGUGUUGAUAGUCCAAAAUGUCAUUUUUCAAAUAGAAGUUAAAUUUUAUAGAUGCUAAAAUAAUAUAUUUAGCCUUAAAUUUUAUAUUUCAAUUGAGUUCGAAUAUCUUUUACCUUGAACUGAGAUAUCAUCCCAUCACCCCAAAUUUUUGUAACAACAUUAUAUGAUAUAUUAUAAUAUAUCGUACAUUAAUAUUAAAAAAAUUGUAUUGUUUUUUUUACUCAAAAAUAAUAUAUUAGAGAAAUCAAGUUCCAUGUAGGUAAAUAUAAGCGUUGAUUAAAGUUUAUAAUAACUGUGUAUCUCAAUCUACAAGCUGAUUUUGUAAGAUUAAGUUAGAUCAAAUAUAAAAUUUAAAAUGAUAUCAAAAUUUAUCGAUUCAUAUCAGCUACCAUUUAUAAGGUUGACUGCACAUCUCAUCUGGGUCGUAUGAAAACAAUGACCUCAAAUGAGGUUAAUAAAAUGAGUUUGAAAUACUAUUUUUUUUCUUUUUCUGGUAGAUGAAAUACUAUUUUUAUUAUCAUCUAACUAGUUGAAAAAUUGUAUUUUCAAAAAAUUCUAAAUUUUCAAACCUGAAAUCUAUUUUCAUUAUUUUGUGGAGGUUAAAAUUAUGGAGGGAAUAGCACUACUCCCUUAUUAAGAGUGAGUUACUUGAAUUCUUGUGUCCCACGAUAUGUCCUUUUAGAGGGUCAAAUGAUUGUUUACUUAAGCAAGCAGCUUAUAAGUGGGAAUGCCUUCAUUAUCACAAAGAAUAACUUAUUGGAAAAUAUUAUUUAAUUGCAAUAUUUAAAAAUACCUACAAUUUGUUCUUAUUCGCCACGAAACAUGGGAACAUGAUAAAAAUGACAAAAUUGUCACAAAGGGGACCCUCAAAAGAAUUAAGGAGAGAAUUAAUCAGACUGAAAACUACAUUAAUAUUAUAAUAUAAUUUCAGUGGGUCCAUUUAUUAUUUUACGUACCAAAGAAAAUCCAAAACAGGAUUAUAUAUCAUAGAAAAUUAAAUAAUAAUUACGUUAGAAGGUUGCCUUGUCAUUUUGUACUUGUCUUUGAUUUGUUGAAGAUUAGAUGAACAGUUUAUGAACAUCAUCAAAGUGUGAAAAUGGAAUAAUAUCACAAUAUAAUAUUUAAUUAAUUAGAAAGCUACUAGUUUUGUAGUCUCUUCUAAUCCUAAAUUAUGUCAUUCACAUAUAACAAUAUAUAUAUAUUGGGUGAGGAUGUAAAGAAUUAUACAUCGAAGAGUUUACUUUUGCUUGACUUGAGUAACAUCCUCCUUAAAUAACUUCUUGUCAUAAGUUGUCACCACCAAAGUCAUCUUGAUUUUCAUCCAAAUUUCACUCUAUUUUCAUUUGGAGGCAAAAGCUUUGGAAACAUACAGCUUCUUGGAAGGCAUAUAGUGGUCUUGAGCAAAGAAAAUUUUACACACACUGUGAGUUAUAGCAUAUAUCUUAAAACUUCUUUAAGAGCUUUUAACUUCUACUCUCUCUCUCUCACACACACAUUUAUUGUAUUUGAGAAUAAUAUAUUAAAAAUGAGUUUGAUUUUCCAAAGAUUGCAAAGUUAAAACUUUGUUUUGUUUCCAUGAAUUUGGAUUAUCUUCAUAUAAGUGAUUUUAAUUAGUACAUAUAUACAUUCAACAAGUUGAAAUUGUUUGGAUCAAGAUGAGCCGAUUCUGAUUUUAAGCUCGCAAAAUUAGCUUUAAAAGAAAACUCGAGAUGAAAGAUGUAUAAUUUUAAACCAACGACUCAGAGCAAGAGACAUAUGUACAUGAAUUAAAUAAGUGUUGGCCCCACAACGAUGUGAGAGAGAAAAAUUAUUAAAUGUUUGUUUGGGCACAUACACAUAUAAAUGUAUUUUUGAUUGUGUUAAAAAUAUUUUAAUUUAUAAAUACGAUAAUUUUUCAAUUUUAAACUAUCUUCAAUAUUUGAAUGUAUAAUAUAAUUUUGCAAUAUUCUAUUUUUUAAUUAAUGAUAAUGAUGAUGUCGUCAUAUUAAUUUUAUUUCUUAUAAUUUAAUGCAUUUUUAUAUAAAUAUUUAUAAAAUAUAAAUUUGCCACAUUAAAAAAAUUAUAUAUUCCUCCUAUGAUCUAUGUUGGUCACAAUGUGAACGCUUGAAAUCUUUGAUAACAAAUAAAUGUUGGCUGAUUUUAAUCCAACGACUCUGAAUCACUAACUUGUAAGUGAGUAAAAUCUUGAUUGAGACAAAUUUAAAUUCGUGUUUCCAUGCACAUGCAAAGAGUAUAACCAACUAAAUAUAUAUAAUAAUGUCUCAUAUUUAAUUAUCACUAACUAACCUCAAACUUCUUGCAGAUUCCAUAGAAAUAUUGACAUCUUGAAAUCACUUUCUAUCUAUUCAUUUGGUACUUGAACAAUAUGGAGGAAAGAACUGAGAUGGAUAUUAAUAAGGUUGAUGAUUUGAUGCCUGGCUUUCGUUUUCAUCCCACAGAUGAAGAGCUUGUUGGUUUUUACCUCAAGAGAAAAAUUCAGCAAAAAUCUCUUCCUAUUGAACUUAUUAAGCAAGUGGAUAUUUACAAACAUGAUCCAUGGGACCUUCCAAGUAAGAAUUUGUAUAACACAAACUCACUAUUUUUUAGCUUUCUCAUGUUUUAGCAUAAAACCCAUUUUCCUUUUUCUAGUGAGUGAACACAACAUUAUAAAUAUUAAGGUUAUUUUUAAUUGAAAAAAAAACAGGGUAUUUUUAGUCUCUUUGUAGGGACCAAAAAGGACUACGUUUUAAUUUUAUUUUUAUUUUUAUAAAAGAUGAAUAUUAAAAUGGAUUUUUUUUUUAUAAAUUCGUAAUUUUUAGGAUUACAAACAUAUUACCCUAAAUACUUUUUAACAAGAAGACGGAAGACUCAUCGUAGUAAAUAAUUAUGAUAGAGAUAAGAUAGAAUGAUAACCACGGAGAAUGAUUUUUCAGAAACAAUGAAAACGAUAUUUUGAUAUUUUUAAAUUUUAUAAAAUUAUUGAAUCAGUUUAUAAAAACUAUACAAAAAAAAAAUGACAAGAGAAUAAUUGAACCUAUAUAUUCUAUCUUAUUUACCAAUUAAAUUGAAAAUAUAAAAUAUGAAACUAUUUUAUUGACCAAAAAAUAUUGACUUCAUUUUAUUUUUGUAAACAAGAAGAGCUAGCAAGUAGUGGUGAAAAAGAAUGGUAUUUCUAUUGUCCAAGGGACAGAAAAUAUAGAAACAGUUCAAGACCUAAUAGAGUUACAAGAGCUGGAUUUUGGAAGGCAACUGGAACUGAUAGACCUAUAUACUCAUCAGAUGGAAAAUGCAUUGGUUUGAAGAAGUCACUUGUCUUCUAUAAGGGUAGAGCUGCCAAAGGGAUGAAAACUGAUUGGAUGAUGCAUGAGUUUAGGCUACCUUGCAUUUCAGAUUCAAACUCUCCUCCUAAAAAGUUUUCAGAUAAAAGUUUCUCUCCAAAUGUAAGUAUUUUAGUUAUUUCAUACUACUCACCUCAUUUUUACUAUUUAAUAUAUUUUUACCAGGUAAUUUUAUUGUAGAAUAUUAUAAGUCAAAAUUAGGUUUAAGUUACACCAUUGAAUAAAUUUUCUUGAUAUACUAACAUACAUGCAUUAAUCUAAAAUGAUUCAAUAUAGUAUAAAAUUUUAGAGUGGUGCAAAUGAUAGAAGAUGAUUUGGGGUACCAACCUAAUUGAAAUGUCUUUUCCUCGGUGCGCUCUAUUUUUUGCUUAUAAAAAAAAAUAUAGCAUGAAAAAGUACAAUCAAAUUUUAUUUCUAAUUUUUACAUUUAAAUUAAAUGAAAUAAAUACAUUUUAGCUAAUGUUAUUAAAUGAACAUUGUUAAGUUUUGUUUUGGCAAAAACCAACUCCUCUUCAUUUUGAUAUUCUUCUACUAAUUUUUUGGUUUAGUCCUAUACUAAACUAAUUAGUUCUUUAUGAAUUUUUCAGGAUUCAUGGGCAAUAUGUAGGAUCUUCAAGAAAACCAAUUCCCUUUCCAUGGUACAAAAAGCAUUGUCUCACCCUUGGAUCUCCCAAUUACCAGGAAGUAUGGUUAGUGAAUUACUCACACAAACAACAAACAUCAACCAAUUCUGUUCAGAAAAUAAUAUCUCAUGCACAACAAUAGAACAAGGAUCAUCAGCAGGAACAAACUUACAAAUGUAAGUGUUGGUGGUUUUCAUUAUCAUUUUUUUUGUACUACUAUAAUAUCUAUUUUACUUAUUUAUUAUACAAAGAAUUAGAUGCAAAAUCAAAUGAGAAAUGAAUUGUUGAAUAAUUAUUUAGUUUCUUGUAUGAGAAGAAAUAUUUUUAUUGACACUUAAAUAAGAAGAUCAUCAAUAUUUUCAUAAUAUGAAAAAUCGUAAAUAACAAUUUUGAUGUAUAUUCAAAAAUAAAAUAUUAAGUGAUUGCAAACUUACUCUAAAACUCUUUUUUUAACACUUAUUUUUUAUUCGGUAAAACUCAUGUGGUCCCACUAUUUUGAAUAUGGACCUACAAAAAAUUAUGGGAAAUUUGACCCAAUAAGAGAGUUACUAUCGGAAAAAUAGCGUUAGAGUAUUGCUAACACUACUCGCUACAAAUUUAUAUAACCAUGUGCCUAAUAAUUAUCCAUUCAAUUUUGUAGCAACAAGCAUGAUAUACAACAAGUCUCCAAUACCAUCAACAAUUUCUCAGCUUCAGAUUUUCCAAAUUACAAACCAAUCAACAACAUCAACACAAUUUCCAAAUCCUCACAAAUUCAGGUUCCUAAUGGAGACAUUAUUGAUAACCUAAUGUUCUACACACUUGACGCCAAUGGUUCCACAAAGUGCACAAUUGAUGAUAGUUCAAUUCUUUCCAACACUAACUAUAUUGGUUUUGAAGAUGCAAAUAAUCAAUAUAAUGGCUUCUCAAUUAGUUUACCUCAAGAUAUGCAACCAAACAUUGUGAAUAUUCAAGAUCAAAUGCAGCUUAAUCAAUGGGAAAAUCUUGGAAGAACAAUUGAAUUUCCAUUCAAUUUGUCUCCAAGUUUUGAUGCUUUGAGGACAAGUGUUACAUGGGACUCACCACCUUGCACCAGUGAAAUGUCCACAACCUUUGUCACUAGUAAAUGUUACACUUAGGAUAAUGUGUUUGGAUUUAUGUGUCAAAUUAAUGUACCAAACAUAUACUUAAAACCAAAUUGGGGACAAUUUAUAGGGGUAGUUAGGUACUGGUUAUAGCAAGCUAUAGUUAUAGUGUGGUUGAUUAUCAUUUUUACCAAUUAGUAUAUUUACCAAUAAAAUCAUUACCAUUUUAAUUGGUUGUGAUUUUACUUGUAAAUGUACAUGUUUUAUUUGUUUAUAUGUACAUUAAAACCAGUACUACCCUGCAGGAACAUAGAAAAAGAAUACCAAAUGUAUAAUAGGGGUGUAGUGUUUAUAUAUGAUAAGGUCAUGUACAAAGAAUAGAUACAAAAAUAUUUCCAAGGGCUUAGCAAAAAAUUUGUUGUAUUUUAAUUAGGGUUUUUAUUUAUAUUAUCUUCAUGUAAGAUAUCUAGUUAUAUAGUUUGCUACGUUCAUAUAAUAAUUUUUUUUUUUUUUUGAUUUUAUGCUUGUUUUAUUAUUUACAUAGAUAUAUAUAUCUUAUUUCAUUUUCCUUGUCACAAAUCUUAAUGACAUAUAGCUACUAAAUCAAGUAUAAAUCUUUUAGGAGUGAUGGAAAAAUACUCAUACGAAGUUAAAAAAAUGUACAAGAGGAAAGAGUUUGAAAAAGAAAAGCAUAUAGUAUUAUAUUCUAAACAAUAAUGGGAAAUUUCUUGUAAUUUUGUUUUUGGAGUAUAUAGUUGAAAAGGUUGAAAAAGUUAAAACAAAGCACAAUUAUAUCUGUGUUCAGAGACUAUAGACUUAUAUCUUGGCUGCUUUUAAGAAGUCGAUAACAAAUUAAAUAAUUAAUUGUCGAAAAAAAACAAAUUAAAUAAUUAAUUACUUGUAUAAAACAAAUUAAAUAAAAGUUAGCUUUCAUGGUUUUGGAUAAGCAAUACUAUUAGCUAGCACAUAAUUAAAUAGAUAGAAGAGUGUAAAUUUGUUCCGUGUAAGAAUGAAUUUAAAACUGCAGACAAAUGGGACAUUUUGUUCAUCACUUUCACACACAUUAGAGUGUAAAAUCAUAUUUUUGGGCUCUCUAAUGAAAUUUAGAGACUAUAGUUUACAAUAUCAUUUGCAUGCGGCGACGUGAAAAAAGAGUACUUCACUAAUCCGAAGAGGCAAAGAUGAAAUGAUAUAUCACGUAGAAAUUUUCAUUCUAUGUGUAUGAAGGAAACUAAAAAAUGCAUGUCCUAUAUCAAAUAUACAAUGAACCAUGUGUUCAUUAUGUCUUCAUUUGGGCCAACUCUAUUAUAUAUAUUUUCUGCUACAAUAACUCUAUUAAAUAUUAACACCCUAAAAUGAUAAUCAGAGUUAGAACAUUUAUCUAUUAAUUUAUAAUAUAUAAUUUCUAAUAGUUGUUUAUUAAAAAAAAGAACGAUUCAGCAUCAAAACGAGCAUUGAUGUGCUCAUCUUUAUGCUUUUAUCAAUAAAUAGAAUAGUUGUAUAAUUUUAGCUAAUUAUUUAAAAACAUAAGUUAUUUGAUUGAUAAAGAAUAAUAAAACAGAAAAAGUUAAAGGGAUGGUUAAUUUUUUUUUGGAAAAGUAUAGAGAUUAUCACACCAAAAAGAUGAGCAAAAAGUAGUAUUUUUUUAUCACACCAGAAAAUAUCACACCAAAAAGAAAAUCAUCACACCAAAAAUUAUCACACCAAAAAGUAAUUCUGUUAUAUAGAAGUAUAGCGAUUUAGAAAAUUUGAUUAUAUAUCCAAUAAAGAAUAUUGAUUAACUUGUGGAUAAAAUAUAUAAAUGGUAUAGUUCAAAAAGAAAUAGUCACACUAAACUUCUGUCAAAAAAGGAAGUCACACUUAAUCCUAACAUGAUGCAUCCAUACUUCUAUACUUCGAAAGAUCUCACUAAAGAAGCGUCCAACUUGAUAGGUCUUUUAGAAUUGUAUAAGCAAAAUAUUGAGAAAAUGGUUACCAUGUCGUCGUCAUUCCGGAGUUUGAUCUGGGUGGACUAGUUCCAUUUGAGUCGGUCGAUGGACAACGAUACUCAACAUUCUCCACCAUCCUUGCAUCUCUUUGGUUGUCCACGAUAAAUUUGAUCCAACUGAUGCUUCAUGUCAGACUAAUGUGACAUCAACCUGAACCCUAAACAAAUUAGGUUUUCAAAUGUUGUAGUAAACCCCAGAUAACUUGGUGUUUAUAUAUUAUAUAUAAGUGUUAUUGUUCUAAGAUGUGGUGUUCUAAGAUGUGGUUUACAGAAAAUGAACAAAAUGCACCAUGUAGCUCAAACUUUCAUAGAUUUCCUUCCUCACGUCAUACCAGAGACUGGUAGGGGUCCGGAGGUGGAGGAUCCAUGGUAGUACGUACCAGGAUACGUGUCCGAAUUGUAUCAUGUAUUUUAUCCGAAGAUUCUUCCUCUAUCGAGCGAGAACCCCCUAGGACGAUGAAUUAGGAGAUAAUUAUUAAGGAGGGACAUGUUAGGAAUACUAAGGAUUCACUGUAGAUCAUCAUUAGUGUCAAGGCCAUUGUGGUGGAUGGUUUGCAAAAUGGUCGGACAUAUGAAGACCUACGUGUUUUACACAAAUGGGCGAGUUGGUGUUUUGUUCUGGUAUAUGACCAGAACGCAGUUAACUACCGCUAGUUUGUGCGAGUGAUAGUUAACUAGCGUUAGCUUGACAAGAUGAUAUUAACUUAUGUUGGGGGUUGAAAACGUCAGUCUGGGGUGCCUAAGAACAACCCCAAAGUGUCUAAAGAGCAAUCUCCUUCAUUCACGUAGUUCAAAAUGCUUAAAUUUGGAUUAAUGUUUAGAGCCCGUAUAGCAAGUAGACCAGAUCAAUUUGGCCUAUUUAUUAAUGCACGCUAAUUUACUAAUAUGAAGCAUAUCGGGUCAACCUAUAUGACAACUCUAUUUAAAACGUCUCUACAAAUUUGAUAAUUUUUAUUUAUAGAGAAUAUACUCAUAUUUAACAUUUAUCUUAUACCCUUUAUUCUUUUUCCAUUUUAUUUUUAUUAACUUCCUACAUAUUAUUUUUAUCCCUUUCAAUAUUUUUGGUAAACCAAGCUUAUUCAAAAAGUGGUUUUCUACACCUCCGUUCUAUUCUUUUUAUCUUUAGUCUUCAUCAAGUUUACUUUUGAUUUUUGUACAUGCAUUUUUUUCCCUACCUAUAUUAUAUUGUUUUAGACUUAAAGUAUACUUUUCACAUGACAAGUAGCAAAAUCCCAUAAAAUCCCAUAGAUAUCCCAUAGUAUUAAAAACUUUUUUUGUUGAGAGCAAACAUGUCAAGUAUUAUAGCAGCUAUUGUUCACACAAUCAAAAGUAAUGUGAAACUAUUUGGUUAGUUAAUUAAUAAAGAGAGCAUUUGCAUUGCUUCAUUGUGUGGCUAUAAUAGCUUCCAACUUCACUGUGUGGCUAUUUUGCAUUGCUUCCAAAAAUAAUCCGUAGAAUGUGUCAAUAUGGUAGAAUGACAUAUUGACAUACAAUAGAAUAAACUUGUUUUCUUACUCUAAAAGGAUAAAAUUGUCUUAUUCCAUUGAGCAAAAAGAAGAAAAUAAUGUUGUGCAUUAAUUUGAUGCAACACACACCACAAACUAGCAGGGGGACCAAUAUACGCACCGUGGUCACAAUGCUGCGCACAUCUAGAUAUGUAUGAAUUUGUACAUUAUUGAUUAGCCUAUCUAGAAAUCAUAUUUGACAAUUUUUAUUGGAUGGAAGACGUAUUUAAUGAUAUUAUCAUCACAUACUUUGGAUAUUUGAAAUAUUUUAUAAUGAAAGAAGAAUUUCUAAAAGAUAUGUGGUUUGAGAAGCAAAGGAAAUACUACAAACCAAUAGAAACUUAGAUAUAGAUUUCCUAAGAUAUUGACCUUUAGUUUUGCUCGAUGAAAACCAACUAUAAAUAGCCAUAUAACCUAAUUUGAUAACCAUCCUCAACAUUGCCAAUUGAGCUUCAUUUGUUUACUUAGUAAGGAAUAAAAUACUAAAAUGGCGGCUUCAACAAUGUCUCUCUCUUCUUCAUCAUUUGUAGGGAAGGCAAUCAAGCUUUCCCCAUCCACCCAAGACAUUGGGGUGGGAAGAGUCACAAUGAGGAAAGCAACCACCAAGAAGUCUGUUCCUUCUGGAAGUCCUUGGUACGGUCCAGACCGUGUCAAGUACUUGGGCCCAUUCUCCGGUGAAGCCCCAUCCUACCUCACCGGUGAAUUUCCUGGUGACUACGGUUGGGACACUGCUGGACUUUCUGCUGACCCAGAGACAUUUGCCAAAAACCGUGAACUCGAGGUCAUCCACAGUAGAUGGGCUAUGUUGGGUGCCUUGGGAUGUGUCUUCCCUGAGCUCUUAUCUCGCAAUGGUGUCAAAUUCGGCGAGGCUGUAUGGUUCAAGGCAGGAUCCCAAAUUUUUAGUGAGGGUGGGCUUGACUACUUGGGUAACCCAAGUCUAGUCCAUGCACAAAGCAUCCUUGCUAUAUGGGCUGUCCAAGUUAUCUUAAUGGGUGCUGUUGAGGGUUACCGUAUUGCUGGUGGACCUCUCGGUGAGGUGGUUGACCCACUCUACCCAGGUGGCAGCUUUGACCCCUUGGGCCUUGCCGAAGAUCCCGAGGCUUUUGCAGAGUUGAAGGUGAAAGAACUAAAAAAUGGUAGGUUAGCUAUGUUCUCUAUGUUUGGAUUUUUCGUUCAAGCCAUUGUGACUGGAAAGGGACCUAUCGAGAACCUCGCCGACCACCUUGCUGACCCGGUUAACAACAAUGCUUGGGCCUACGCCACAAACUUUGCCCCCGGAAAAUAAGCAAUAACUACACCAAAUGAGAAGUGAAUGACUUGAAUAUCGAAGUUUGAAUUUGUUAGUGUGUUAUAUUUUGUAAAACGCAUGGCAUGUUACAUCUUUUUUUCCCCUAAGUUUGUACAUAUUAAGUGAAUGAAAUGAAUGGUUUUACCGAAACAAGGGAGAGUGAAAUGACUGUGAAUGGUAUCAAGCAAUCUAUUACCAGAACAUCAAGUGUAACGAUGUCCUUUCAAAAAAAAAUAAAAAAAAAUCAAGUGUAACGAUGUUUUAAACCAGUGAAGUUUUUAUCAUAUUAACUUUUCAUAUUUUAUAAUUAUAUUUUAUUUUAAAGAGGAGCCUACACAACGGUAAAAGUUGAUUAAAAAUGUCACGAGUUCAAGUUCUGAAAAUAGUCUCUUGUGUAAAAAUAGAAUAAGACUGUGUGCAAUACACCAGAUGGUGAGACCCUUUCUCGGACUCUACGUAUGUGGUUGCCUUGUGCACCAGACUGUUUCUUUGUUUGCUACAAUUAUAUUUUAUUUUGUUAACCUUUUACAUGCCAUAUAUCUUUAGCUCAAUAUGAGAUCUUGUAAUGCCGUUUGAGCUGAAUUAUGGUUUCCCCGUAUGGAAAUCACCCAAGAUCUAAAUCAUAGCAAGUAGGAAUUUGAGAUGGACUCCAAAGUUGAUAUUGAUAUGGUUAAUUUAAAUCCUACCGAAUUGCUUUUAUUCAACAUUUCCUACAUGAGAUCGUUGCUAUUCUGAACCUCCCUUCAAGGAGAAGUUUCAUCUGUUAUAUUUAUAAAGAAACAAAUAAAUAUGUAGAUCUCCUAUGCUAAUAAGAGGCACACUACAAGAGUUGGUGUACAUUAUGUUUUUCUCAUGCUCAGAUUUUGAUGUAGACAAGUUGGCAGCGCGAAUCGAAGACGAAGUGGCGCGUAAGAAAGGUUUAGUCGGAUUGGUGCUGAUUUAGCAUCCGACGUCGGAAUAACAUGAAUUAAACCUUUUUGAAAAGCCCCGGACCUCACGAGCAAUACUCAUCGCUUUGUCAUGAUGUAGGAGUUAAUUUAAUCAUUCGAGGUCGUCUGAAGGCCCGAAAACCGCGUUUUAAUACUUCAGCAUAUUCUAGAACUUUAUAUUUUAUUUCGUUUUGUUAUUUUUCAGCAUAUACGGGUUUGUUAUUUCAUUUAGUAUUUAAACAGAACUUAUGUAGCCAAAGAGGCACUUUUCAUUCAAUAAAAAUAUUCGAGACUUUUCUCUCAAUUCUGGUGGAUUUUGGAAACUCUUAUUUGAUAGGUUUAUCGCUUACAACCUGUUGUUAUCUUUUAAGUUUAGCGUUUGCUAACCCUUGCUUCCAUUUUGCGUCAGAUUUUUGUUACUAUAUGAUGCCAAAGGUGGCUGUAUCUCUAAUAAGCUUUCGUAGUUUAAUUUCCUUUCCUAUCAAAUAAUAAAAAAUGUAACGAUCACCAAUAAACCAUGAAUGAAUAGAGCAAUUCUUGCUUGGGCACAACCACAAAUAUAAAUAAUUUAGACACACACAUAAAAAAAAACAGACACCCACACACACGCGCAUAUAUAUAUAUCAUUGAUUAUUUUCAAAAAUAUAUUAUUUUAUUGAUUUUUCUUUUAUAUGUUUUCACUUAUGUGUGUCCAAAUCAAAAUGAUAUGGGGUUAUGAUGGGUAUUUGUAUUGGCUGCAUUAUUGCUAAUACAAAUAUCCAUGUUUGUGAUGUUCGAUACUAUGUUCCAAUAUGUAUAUUAAUAAUUCUAAUAAUAUGCAAUAAAAGUAAUGUAUAUUAAAAAAUUACAUUGUACUAAUAUGUAUAUUCUAUGAUUGUUUCAUCUCCUAUUUGAUUACACAACCCAAUUAUCACAAUCUUCAUAGCAGAAAAGACAGUUUAAGUGAAUUGAGUACCAGAAGCUCGUCAUGAUCAAGAGAGCGUUGAGUGUACAUGCAAAUUAUCCACCGACAAGGUUCUUACAUUGGCAACAUAAGUUAAACUUAGGUUCUUAUGGUUUGUGAAUCAACUCCUAGACCAAUCGACAUCGACAAUUUUUUUAGUCGUUUAGAAUCAUAUAAAUUUUCAAUUUAAUUUGAUUAGUAAAAAAUAAAUAAUUGUAUGUAUAAGCAAUGACAUAUUAUUAUUUAAAUUUUAAAGCAUGCUUACCAAAUAAAUAUAAAAAAGAUCAUGCAUAUUUGUAACAACUUUCCAAAGAUACAAUCAAAUGAUGUGUUAGUCUACUGGAUAUAUUACUUUUAAGGGUUAAAUAUGUUUUUAGUCUCUAUAAAUAUACCAACUUUUCCUUUUAGUCAUUCUAAAAUUUUCGUUCAACUUUUAGUCCCUAUAAAAUUUUCAAUCACUACUUAUAGUCCCUAUUUUUAAAUUAAUUUUAGUAUUUUUUAAUGAAAUUGUGCAGAAAUGUGUAGAAUAUUGUAAAAAUAUUUCCCAAAAAAAUUAGAAUUUUUUAACGAAACAUAAAUUUAAUAUGAAUUUUUAACCAUCAAAAAUAUAAAAAUUCAUAAUAAAUUCAUGUUUUGUUGAAAAAUUCUAAAUUUUUUUAGGAGAGAUACUUAAAAUAUUAUGAAUUUUUCUGCAAACUUUUAUUCAAAAAUGUGAAUUCUACAUAUGAAUUUACUUUAAAAGAGGGACCACAAGUGAAGAUGGAAAAUUUUUGGAGGACUAAAAGUUGAAGGAAAAUUUUAGAGGGACUAAAACGAAAAGUUGGUAUAUUUAUAGGGACCAAAAACAUAUUUAACCUUACUUUUAAUAAUGACAUGGGGGAUCCCUUUCAUUUUUGUUCUAAUAAUAGUAACAAUAAUAUGUUAUAAUAGCAGAAAAAACAAAAACAAAGUAACAUUGCACCACGUUUUGACGGUAGAUUGAAAAUGCAGGUUCAAAGAGAAAUAUUGAGAAAUCACUUGAACCCCCUCACACAAGAGUGGCUUCGCCACUGAUCACAGUGGCUGUGAUUGGUUGUAGGAUAGUGAGAUGAGAUCUUAGAUCUAGAAGUUCUUAGGUUGAAAUCAAUACGGGUAGGUCCUAGGUCUUAAGUGUAAACGAGGAUUUUGCUGAGAGCUUUAGAAUAAGAACUACACUAGUGGAUUACUUUCCUAACUUGGUAGCCCCAGAUGUAGGUGAGUUGUGCCGAACUGAGUUAACAAACUCUUCUUUACUUUCUUGUCUUUUAUUUUGCUGUUUUGUUUAUGUUUACUUCUAGCACGAUGUUGGAACAUUAAACGGAACAUGUGCUUUCUGUGCAUCUCGAGUUGAAACUUCACAUAGAACAACUUCUAACUGACACGCUAAAUAUUCAGCAUCCGUUAUAUUUGCCGGGAAUUUCAAGUUAUGACCAAACAAGUCUUACUCGAAUGAAUAAGGAUCACACCAAUCAGAAAAAUAAUAUAAUAAAGACAAACAACAAUUAAGACAAAAAAAAGACAAACAACAAUAUCUUAAUAAAAUUAGAUGUUGAUAUUAUGCUAUUUGAAGGACGAGUUUGAACUUUAUUUUAGAAAAUGUGGAAGGUCCAGUAAAUAAAUAUAUCAUGAAAGGUGGAUAUAAAAUAUCUCUGUGAGCUUGAUUCUCUUGGUAGUGAUAUUAUAUAUUAUAUGCAGAGUCAUCGAACCUCGGACACCCUGGUCACUUCUCCACAUUUAAAAUGUAUGAGCUCCGGUCACUAUACUAUUUGACAAAAAAAAAUAAUGCUUGAAAAAUUUAUUAGAAUGUUUACCACUUCAGCCCACAUUAAGUUCAAUCUAGUUAACCAAAAAAAUAUAAAUAUUCUUGAAGCAUGUUAAAAUCAUGUGAUACAAAUCAAUUUGAUUAUAUCAAGAUGAUGUUGAGAUAAUUUAUAUUAACACGACUCGCCUAUUAGCAAAAAUAUUUUGGUUUCGAUUUAUACAAUCGUCCAUUUGAGAGAUGGUUCGACUCUCAAGACAAAAAGUAAGAUAGCUUGCAACGAACUUGGUAAGUAGUCAUGUAGCGCUUUCAAAUGCGGGUGGUAUCCAUUGGAGAGCCAAAUACUUUUGUUAUAGUAACAUCACUGCGGAUUUUAUUAGUCAUAUACAUGGAUUUAAUUAUUUAUCUUGUUAUUUUUAAACAUAUAAUAAGAUCAGUUUAUUUAAAUUUAUUUCUUUAUCUCAUUAUUUUCAUUUUUAUUUUACAAGACAUAUUUCACAAUGCACUAAAGCAAAAUCUCAAUAUACUUUUUCACAUUGCAUGCAUUGCAACUAAAUUUUUGCACAUGAUAAAAAAAUAGAGUGAAACUACUUGAUUAGUUAGCUAAAACAAGAGAGCAUCUAUUGAAUGUUUUAUUUUGCAUUUCUUCCCACAUCCUUUUGUGUCCAUUUUGCAUUGCUUCCAAAAAUAAACGGUAAAAUAUGGUAUAAUGACAUAAUUUUAGGAUAAAUGUUUUUUUAUCUAUUGAGCCAAAGAAAAAAGAAAUAUUCUUUGUCCUUUUGAUGCAACACAAAUUAACUAGCAAUGGUACCAAUAUGCACUAUGGUCCCUCUUCUUCAACUCAUGAUUUUAUACCGUUAUGUAUGAAUUUGUACAUUAUUGAUUAGCCUAUCCAGAAAUCUAAUUUGACAAAUUUUAUUGGAUGGAAGACGUAUUUAAUGAUAUUAUCAUUACAUACUUUGGAUAUUUGAUAUAUUUUAUAAUGAAAGAAAAUAAUAUCUUAAAGAUAUGUGGUUUGAGAAAUAAAGGAAAUACUACAAACCAAUAGAAACUUAGAUAUGGAUUUCACAAGAUAUAGACCUUUAGUUUUACUCGAUGAUAACCAAAUAUAAAUAGCCAUAUAACCAAAUUUGAUAACCAUUCUCAACAUUGCCAAUUGAGCUUCAUUACUUUACUUAGUAAGCAAAAAAAUACCACAAUGGCUGCUUCAACAAUGUCCCUCUCUUCUUCAUCAUUUGUCGGGAAGGCAAUCAAACUUUCCCCAUCCACUCAAGACAUUGGGGUGGGAAGAGUCACAAUGAGGAAAACAACCACCAAGAAGUCCGUUCCGUCUGGAAGCCCAUGGUACGGUCCAGACCGUGUGAAGUACUUGGGCCCAUUCUCCGGUGAAGCCCCAUCCUACCUCACAGGUGAAUUCCCUGGUGACUACGGUUGGGACACUGCUGGACUUUCUGCUGACCCAGAGACAUUUGCCAAGAACCGUGAACUCGAGGUCAUCCACAGUAGAUGGGCUAUGUUGGGUGCCUUGGGAUGUGUCUUCCCUGAGCUCUUAUCUCGCAAUGGUGUACAAUUCGGUGAGGCCGUGUGGUUCAAGGCAGGAUCCCAAAUCUUUAGUGAGGGUGGACUUGACUACUUGGGUAACCCAAGUCUAGUCCAUGCACAAAGCAUCCUUGCUAUAUGGGCAGUCCAAGUUAUCUUAAUGGGCGCCGUGGAGGGUUACCGUAUUGCUGGUGGACCUCUAGGCGAGGUAGUCGAUCCACUCUACCCAGGUGGCAGCUUUGACCCCUUGGGCCUUGCCGAAGAUCCCGAGGCUUUUGCAGAGUUGAAGGUGAAAGAACUAAAAAAUGGUAGGUUAGCUAUGUUCUCUAUGUUUGGAUUCUUCGUUCAGGCCAUUGUCACCGGAAAGGGACCUAUUGAGAACCUCGCUGACCACCUUGCUGAUCCAGUUAACAACAAUGCUUGGGCCUAUGCCACAAACUUUGCCCCUGGAAAAUAAGCAAUAACUACACCAAAUGAGAAGUAGUGAAUGACUUGAAUAUCAAACUUUGAAUUUGUUAUUGUGUUAUAUGUUGAAAAACGUAUGGCGCAUUACAU